UACAGAGGUCUCAAGCGUUGUUCGGAUUCAUUGGGCGUAAAGGGUGCGUAGGCGGCGCGGUAAGUCGGGUGUGAAAUCUCGGAGCUUAACUCCGAAACUGCAUUCGAUACUGCGGUGCUUGAGGACUGGAGAGGAGACUGGAAUUCAUGGUGUAGCAGUGAAAUGCGUAGAGAUCAUGAGGAAGACCAGUGGCGAAGGCGGGUCUCUGGACAGUUCCUGACACUGAGACACGAAGGCCAGGGGAGCAAACAGG
rnacentral:rRNA from 1 species